CGAAGGACGUCGAGAUCAAGAAGCGCGCAAACCCUCCGCCCUCUCUCUCUCUCUCUCUCUCUCCUCAUCCUCCGCCAUCUGCCGUGGAUGUCGCCUUCUUCAGGUGCAGCCGGGCUAAGGAAUCCCUCAGGAUUCCGGAUCUAUGUUGCUUGCUGCCGCAGGCUCCCAUGAGGGAGAGCGGCAGGACGCCGCGUUCGCUUCGAUCGAUCAUCGUCGGAGUGUUCGGUUUCAGUUUAGUCCCGGUGUCCAGAAACAUGGUUAGAAUCCGGUCCAAUUCCCUCACCACCACAGGCGAGCAGGCGGAAGACACGAUCGCCGUAGGUUCCUACGUGAAGGGACGUGAUCUCCCUCCGGCUGGAGCAAAUUUGGGGCUUCGCUUCGACCGAUCAUCUUGUGUUUCUGGUUCCCGCUGAUCCCCAUCUCAAGGUGACAUAUGCCCCUGUCUCGUGCUUAAGAUUUGUUGUGCCUCUCAGUUCUUGUUAUCGAUCUUUCAUCUUCACAUAAUGGAAAACGUGGUUAAGAUGUGAACCUAAGUGGAGAGACUUUUAUUUGGCUAAAAUGAGCCAUACAUACUUCGAUCUUGAAAUUGUUCUUUCACCCAACAGAAAAAAGAUACAUGAAAAAGAUAGAAAAGAAGAACGAUUUCGAACAAGUUAUUACAUGAGAUUUUUGGACUAGUUUAUCUUUUUUGAUGUAGUUUGCACUAUGCUAUCCGCUUAAUUAUAUGUGAAGGGUAUAUCGAUAUAUAUACACAGGCCCAAAAGUAGGUGAACGGGACAGGCGGGGCCAUGUCAGCCCAUGGCCACAUAAUGACUCUACUAAUGGCUUCCAUGCUAACUUGGAUGUAGAAAGCAUGAGGUUUGUGCUUCAGGGGUGACAAGCUUUUGGAAUAUACCUCAAUGCAUAUUAUGAGAUAUAGUCAAAUGUAUUCCUUCAUCCUUAAAAACUUUUAUCACUGAUCUCCGGCAACUAGAUGUCUUAUUUUGAACCACAAUAAAUCAUUCGACCGUGUUGUGCUUUAUGCAUAAAUUAAAUACAAUUGACUAAUCAAUAUAUAUGGUGGAUUUUUAAGAGGUUAUUAGCGUGUAUUAAUUACAUGAUGAUGGAAAUGAACAUUGUGUUCCAUUUGAUUAGAAAUCUGGGAUGAAGUUUUUCAGUUAAAUUGGAUAUAUGAGGAGCACAGAUGCUUCAGAGGCUAACCGGAUGUUGAAGAAGAUCAUUGGAAAUUGGAGUAAACUAGAAGCAUUACAAUGUGAAUUAGUUUUGGACCUUAGAGAAAUAUUAAAGAGGAGAUAAAAAUGUGCCCUAGAAAACAAUUGGAAAUUAAGUGCAUGAAGUAUUUGAUUUUCUCCAUUAAUUGGUUUGUCAUGCUUGUUUGAACGAUCUUAAUAUAAACGGAAAUUAAGACUAUGUCAUCGUCAGUCAUUAGAAUAUCAAAUCAUUUGAAGUGGCUAAGAAAGAUGAAAUCCAGCCUUUGAUUUAGCUCGUUGAUUUCCUGCAUAGAAAUACUCUUAAUUGCAGUCGAUUAUGCCAAAUAAAGUUCUCUAGAUGUCAGAUUGAUUCUUGCAUUGAUGGUCUAAUCUUGCCUGUUCACAUCCUUUCUAUCUUUAUGAUGAAGGGAGAAUAGCAACAAACAAAACAAAACAGUGACUGGAGCUUUUUCCUCGGCAUUCACCUUCAAUGAGACAUCAUCUGGUCACACUCCGCUCCGCUGGUAUUAAAUAGCCCGGACGUACCUUCUUUAAGAGGGUAACCUUCUUUACGAAUUAAACUUCCUCUUUAAGUUUAAUGAUCAUAGCAAUCCUGGGUGGGGAUGAAUUUGUGUUUUUUAUUGUCAUGUCAUGCUAAGAUGAGGUGAUUUAUGGCGUACACACCCUAGCGCAGUGUUCAAAUUAAUCGGAAAAAUAAUAGAAGGGCUUACUCGUAUGGAACAAGUUUAAUCCUAUAUUAUCUUUUCAAGUCCCGUCUGUCUACCAAGUUUACAUAACUAAUUGGAGUGGGCGUGUGGUUUUCUGCAUGUGAAAAUAAUGCGGCUGUAAGCGUAUAUGUAACUGUUCGUGUUAAUUGUUGUACAAUAUUAGUCAGGUGUUUCUUGGUCACCAUAUGCAUUGUUCCUAUACACACGACACAUCAUGUUUGCACAUAAAAGAUUAAUGAUACAAAUUCUACUGGUAUGUGUCUUUGUGCUUGCUAGAAUAUGGGACAUGUCUCUUGUGUCUAAAGUUGUUGGUCUUCGGCAGAUUAAUUAUCUGUUUGUGGGAUUAUGAAGUGGUUUUGGACAUUAAUGGGAGGAGUUGACUCUAGUUAACUGUUUUUUUUGUCUUUUUGCUUAUAUGUUACUUGCCAUAAAGCUCCUUCUUUGUGGCUUCAAUUCAAAAUGUAAGUGGCUGCUUCAAUUCAUGCA